UGUUUAAUCCCUUUUAUUGAAUUGCUUGUAAAGUUGUGAAAAGAAUAAUACUGCAACCACAACAUUUUAAACCCCUUGUCAUACAUUUUAUACCCUACAGGCAAACCUUGAGUCACAACGCCGAAGCCUCUUUAAGAUACUGAAUGAAAACAUGGCCAAAUUGAACUGUUUGAAAAAAUAUUCGACCUUGUCGGCAUCUGAGUUGGAAAGUGUGGUGAGAUACACGGAGAGAACCGACAGUCGCGUGAGAGGCUCAUUUGUGAACAUGGCCGAAACGUUGGAUGAUUUGGAAUUGAAAUGGGAGGAACUGAAAGAAAGUGUAAGGUUUAUGGAGAGGAUGGUGAAGCUACAGCCGGACCCUCUGAGGCCUACGUGUAUGUAGCCUGUGUGUAAAACCUGUACCUGUUCUAGAGCUUCAGUUUUAAGAGCUUUAUUUUCACAUAUCUUGGCUUUUGCACGGCGAAGCUUUGCUGCAGCACAUCAUAUAUGUGGGGACAUGUUACACACAAGGACUCUUUUCUCUCACGGGUGUGUGAGUGCUGGUGUGAAGGUGUUGUAUUUCAUUGGUGUAUCUUUUACAUUGUUAUCACUUAUGUAUCUAUGAUUGUUUCACUUGCUGGGGUUUUAUCUUAUUGUUGUUGUUGUUGUUUUUAGAAUACUGCUCAUCAUUCAUUUCCAAGGAAUACUUUUUCUUUAAACCAAUAAAGGACAUGAAAGUGCCACAAAUUUCAGUCGAAGGGUGUGUCCCCCUCGCUUUUUAUUGUUACUUUAUCUCCCUGAUACUUGUGCGUCUGUAGUGUUUUCUGUAGUGGUAAACAUGUAUUAUCAUCUGAUAUACAUAUACAUAUAUAACCCAGUAUUAACUGCCAUUAUUCCUCUGCAUCUUUCCGACCCUUUUCUCUAGGGACCUAGUAGGCUAGUCUGAACUCACCCUCAUGGUGCCGCGUGCAGUGGCUCACGUUUUGACCGCUACAUUUCCAAGAUUAUAAAUGUCGGUUUAACGCCGUGAUGAGUUUUGAAGGGGGCAACAAAUAUCCAUCACACAUCAAGAAAAAAAGUAGCUGAGCCGGAAAAAAAAAAGUCUCGCUAACAGUGUACCAGACAGAAGUUUCACUUCAGCAGCAGAGAACAAACAACACCUCGUGUGGAAAACCUUCUGCGUGAUGCAGACAACUGACUUGCAGCAACUGUUGGCCCACACCUAUGCAUGCAUCGCCCUACUGAUGGUGUAACUUGUCGUGGAAUUUUGUCUAUCCUCCCCUGAGAAACUGUUAAGACGAGUCUUCUCAGGAGGAGAUCUCACCCAGCAUCACUUUGUGCAUGUUUGUCCACACUGCUGUCCAAUGACUGUAACCAUUGGCUCUUUGCUCUCGUGCAUUAAAAACUGGUGCUGUUGCUCCCGUCACUGAUUCCUC